UAUGGCAAAACCCCAUCGCUACAAAAAAUACAAAAAUUAAUCAGGCAUGGUGGUGUUUGCCUAAAGUCCCAACUACUCAGGAGGCUGAGGUAGGAGGAUCGCUUGACCCCGGGAGGUUGAGGCCGCAGCGAGCUAUGAUUACACCACUGCACUCCAGCCUGAGCGACAGAGUGAGACACGCUGUGUCUUUAAAAAAAAAAAAAGAAGUGAAGGGAAAGGAACAAAAAUGGAAUGAAGAGGGGAAAAAGGAAAAGGAAGUGGGCUCAAGUGAUCCUCCCACCUUGGCCUUCCAUAGUGCUGGGAUUAUAGGCAUAAGCCACGGCACCCAGCCCCUGAAUACCGGGCGUGGUGGCAUGCACCUGUAAUCCCAGCUACUCAGGAGGCUGAGGCAGGAGAAUCGCUUGAACUCGGGAGGUGGAGGUUGCAGUGAGCCAAGAUCGCGCCAUUGCACUCCAGCCAGGUUACAGAGCAAGACUCCAUCUCAAAAAAAGGAAAAAAAAGAGAUCAAACAAGAAGAGACUAAUCUAUGACCUAUCAGGAAAAGCUUCCCA
rnacentral:lncRNA from 1 species